rnacentral:lncRNA from 1 species
CUCAAGACCACAACAGCAUUCUCCUCUGCCUUGUUAUUAUCGAUGAGAGAACUAAAGAGGGAGACUACGUGAGCUUCAUCCCUGGUUGCAACCUCCAUCAGCUACAGCCAUUUCAUCAGCACCAAUCGCAACACCAUUCCAGUUGCAACCAGAAAAUCAGAACCAAAUCUGUGCGCGAGCCGAGAGGAAAAUUUUGCAGCUUUCUUGUGCGUGAGCUUCAUUCCCUGUCGCACCUUCAACCAGCUUCAAUCCACCUCCAACUACACCAUCCACCUCAACACCCCGCAGCUGCAACAUCAGCAGGACCAACCAUCCAGCCUAAAGCGAACCGAGAGGAGAGAAAAUUUCAGUUUCUCUAUCGUGUGAGUGAGCUUCAGUCUAAGGUAAUUUUCUAGGCUGAGAUGUGUUGAUCAGAGGUAGAUUAAAUUGUUUAUGACCAUGCAUGUGAAGGUUAGGCAUUCGGAUGAUGAAUUGAAUAUAUAAGCUGCAUGUUAGGUUCUAGCAAAGAAAAUGAAUUCUUGACCGAGGGAAAUUCUGUUUCGUGACUGACUAGGGGCUAGAGAAGAGAACUGAAAUGACCGAGCGGAUGAAUUGGAAUCGCAGCUUGUUAACCCAGUUUUCUGUGGAGAAUAAUGUUAGGAAAUGCAUGUAAAAUGUUUACUCUAAGUAUUAUGAGAACAUUAGCUGAGCAGGUUUGUGAAAAGCUGGAAUUUUGGAUGCGUAAAGGUUGAUUAGAACCUGCUGGAAUUUUUCAGUCUUAUCCGAGAGGGGAAAAUGCAGAGGUUUCUAGCUGUCUCCUUGAAUUUUGGCCUUGAGUUUUCAUGCUAAGCUGUAUUAUAUAUUGCAUUAAAGAUUGGUCUGAACAUGCAUGAAAGAUUUGAGCAAAAACUGAAGAGUUUAUUAGAGAAGAGUUGUGUCAAACUGAUUGCUAUAUCACAGCUUGACCGAGAGAAAGAAACAGAGUUUUAUCCAACCUUUUCUUUUGAAUCUUUGGUUAUAAAUUUCAUAUUAUUGCACAAGACACACCUUAGCAUGAUAAUUGCACUCCGCAUGUUGAGCUGGAAUGGAAAGAAAAUGAGGAGUUAUGGAGAAAGUUUCAAAAUUUAAUCUACCAAUUGCUGGAAAAUGAUAUCCUAUCUGAUGACAGAUUUAUGAGGACUUUUUGGUGGAAUAACUUGCUGGAAUUAUUUACCAUUUGACUCAUUCCAUGUUGGAUAAAAUGCAUGUUAAGUGUCUAGUGUUUAAAGCAAGCUAAGGAUGGAAACCUUGUUGAAAAUUUUGAAGUAUCUUUGCUGGAAAUUUGUACAUGGUUGCUAGCCGUACUAGUUCAAGCUUUUAGUGAGUUUAUUUUUCUGGAUUCGUGUAUUAUUUGCUUUAGCUUAAGUUGAGCAGGGUAUAAGGUAUAUGUUUAGUGCAUCUAACAAAUAGAAGAUGGAGAUUUAAUAGAUACCUUGAAUUGACAUUUGCUAGAAUUUUUCUCGACUAUCAAAGCAAGAAGGGAAAAUAUGAACUUCUAGAGUUAUUUGAAUGCAAGCUAACCAAGUGGGAUUGAAUAAAAUUCUGGUUAAUGAUAAGUGGUUGGUGUUGUCCGCACUUGGUUUGGAUAAAAAAUGCUAGAUAACUAAUUAUUUUAAUCAUGCACGAAAGACUUGUAUUUAAACUGAAGGAAUUACUGGAGAAAAGUUGUGUUUUAAAACUGGUUGUUGUUAGAAUUGAAAACAUGGCCGAGGGAGAGGAUAAGAACCUGGACCAGCUUUGCCUUUCGACUUCCUUGGCCGUAAACUUUAUAUAUCACUGCUAAAGAUACUCUGUGGCUUAAUAACCAACCUCUGCAUGUCAAGUUAGUGUUAACAAAGGAGUUUUUAACAAGUGAAAAAUGAAUUUCCAGAUUUUCGGAUCUCCCUGACCAGUCUCAGUAAAAUGCUUAUAUCUUGGUGUAGGAAAAUCCGAUUAAGGUGCCGUCAGUGGCAUUUGAAACUAGAUUCAUGGGCCUUUGUUCUGUAGAAAUUUCAUAUUUUUCCUCCAUAUGUACUGCUGUCCGUGACUCCUCAAAGUAGACUAUCCUGCUUGAAUGUCCUGUUUCUUUAUGAAACUGAAUUUUUGACUUGGAUCGAACGUUUAGCUUAAUUGUGGUUUGAAUUCUUGAUGGAAUUGUGGUUGGAAGUGAUUGAUGUUGUCAAGGGCUAAUGAUUGAUGAAGCCCUUGGCCAUUUGAAUGGUUUUAUAAAUAUUAUAGAGUGACGAACUUUUAUUGCUGGAAUUUUCUUGACUCCCGAAACAAGAAAAGAAAACCCGAAUUCUUAGAGUCAUUCGGGAGUCAAGUUGGCUGUGCUAAUCCUUCUUGUUCUGGAUUGAGUUGUGAUUAAAAUUGAGUAUUUGCUGUCAAGAGCUAAUGAUUGAUGAAGCUCUUGGCCAAUCAAGUAGUUCCUGCAAGAAUCUAAUUUUAAUAAACUGUCCAAGUAGUUGGCUGAAAUAUAUUUGGAAGGUCCAUGGGUCGUGAUUUGGAAUUACUUUGAUACCUUGGACUUCCUUUGUUGAAUUUUGGUUGUACUAGAAUCUGUUGAGACCUAGGGCUAAUGAUUGAUGAAGCCCUAGAGAAAUUGAUAUUUGGGUUGUGACUUUGUUUAUAUUGGUGACUUGUAAUCCACUGUACAAAUGAACUGGAAUUGUUAAGAUCGUUUUGGCCAUUUGAAUAAUUUUAUAUAAGUGUUUAAGUGUGGUGAAAUUGAACUGCUGGACUUGUUUGAGCCAAUAUGUUUAUUUCGAUUAAGUUAAGAUGUGAUAUGAACUUGCCAAACACCAAGUGCUAAUGAUUGACGAAGCCUCGGUUAUAUAUUUUUGUUCAAAUGAAAUUGACUUUGUUGAAAUCUAGGGCUAAUGAUUGAAGAAGCCCUAGUGACUUGCUUUUGAGAUGUGAUCUUGAUUUGCUGGAAAUUUAAGUUGUAACGUGAUUUCGAUAUGGGAUCGAACUUGUGAAAUUUCGUGUCGACACCACAAAUCCGAGAAUGUUUAAGCAACUAUCUAGACAUUUUGCGCUUAGCAUUAUUUGAUAAAACCUAGUAUUAUAUAUUAAAGGUAAAAGUUUCGUGCAGGGAUUUUCUAAACCUUGUCAACUUGAUAUUUCUUCCUUUAAGCUUAAACUAGUCUUAUUAUUUUUAGAAAAUGAUUUCACUAGUUUUAAAACCCUAAGUUUUGAUCUAUUCCCUUUUCUUUUCUUAAAAUUGUCCGUGGCUAAUUGUUUAGAGGAGAAUUUCCAAAUACAAGAUUUUAGUGGCUUUAACUAAAAAUAGCUGAAAACUUCCUCGGCAAGAAAACUUAUUCUAAAUAAAAUAGUACUAGCCGCACUCGUAUAGAGAAAAAUAUUUUUAAGGAAAGCCAUAUAAAACAUUUCCUACUUUUACUAAAUUUCAAUCCUAAGUGGAUGGUCGAAUUGUUUCAAGAAAAUAAUACUAGUUACCCUUUUCUAAGAAAAAAUAUCUCAAGGAAAACUAUAAGAAACAUUUCUACUACUUUUGUCAAGCUUCAACCUAAGUAGAUUCUUGAAAUUACUAUGGGAAAGUAAACUAGUAAUAUAUUAGAUAUACCUCGAUGUCCAUAAGCUUAAAAACUGAGUAGAAACUUAUAGUUUCAAAUUUUGGUUUUUAGGAUAUUGCGAGGACACGGAAUUCGAUUCCCAACUUGAUAUCUGAACUCCACUCUUGGUGAGUGUCUCUGUCUGUUCUAUGCUUACCUGCUUAAAGUACCUUCUUGACUUGAUAUGUGAUAAGUUGAAAAGUUGGUUUCUGAUCCAUCGAAGUGAGCUGUGUGUACUUUAUCGCACUAGCCGUUCGAGUGGUGACUUGUGCAAAACAUUUUUCUCCUGAAUCCAUAAAUCUAAAUGUAGUUGCGUCGUUGGGUGAAUCCCUCGACUUCUGUAUCCAACUACCGGAAAACUAAAUGUAGUUGCGUCGUUGGGUGAAUCCCUCGACUUCUGUAUCCAACUACCGGAAAACUAAAUGUAGUUGCGUCGUUGGGUGAAUCCCUCGACUUCUGUAUCCAACUACCAUAAAUCUAAAUGUAGUUGCGUCGUUGGGUGAAUCCCUCGACUUCUGUAUCCAACUACCAUGACGGGUAUAUCUCGAGUGUACCACGUCCUUAGUCGGUGAGCGGGCCCGGGACCGGGGUAUGAAUGGUGACGGGUUAGGAUUAAAAUGAGUGGAUCUACAUGGACUAUAAGUAGUGAGAGUUGACGGAGGGUCAACUACGAUGAAUGGUGAUCAAGCGAGGAAAAUGGCUCCUGAGAGCCCCUGUAUCCUACUUUGUGCUGUUAUACGCUUUCCUAACUGUUCAAUUUGGUUAAGUUAUUACUCGCUGUUUGAUUUACGUGACUGCAUGUUUUGGGGCACCACUGAGCUUUAGCUCACCCCACGUUUAUUGUUUUCCUUAACAGGUUCUGGAAACAGAAAGCUGGACACUUACUUAUGUUUUUCUUUUUGGAUUGUAUUUGAAUACUAUGACUUAUUCUGUGGACUGUAAUGCGUUAUCUGGGAUAAUGUAUUUUUCCUUUUUGGAUUGCCACUUGAAGCUGGAAAAUGUGUAAACCCUAAUUCGAUUACUUGGUUUGUAAGUUUGUAAUAGAGAUUUAUG